AUCAACUUUCGAUGGUAGGAUAGAGGCCUACNUGNNNNUAACGGGUAACGGGGUGUUAGGGCACGACACCGGAGAGGGAGCCUGAGAAACGGCUACCACAUCCAAGGAUGGCAGCAGGCGCGCAAAUUACCCAAUCCCGACACGGGGAGGUAGUGACAAUAAAUAACAAUACGGGGUUCUUUAGGAUCUCGUAAUUGGAAUGAGUACAAUUUAAAUCUCUUAACGAGGAACAAUUGGAGGGCAAGUCUGGUGCCAGCAGCCGCGGUAAUUCCAGCUCCAAUAGCGUAUAUUAAAGUUGUUGCAGUUAAAAAGCUCGUAGUUGAAUUUCGAGAUCGGCUUACUGGUCGUGCUAUUGUACGUACUGGUAUAAUCGGUUUCUCCUUUCUGACGAACUAUAAUGCCAUUAAUUUGGUGUUUUAGGGAAUCAGGACUGUUACUUUGAAAAAAUUAGAGUGUUUAAAGCAGGCUCACGCUUGAAUACAUUAGCAUGGAAUAACGGAAUAGGACGUUUGAUUCUAUUUUGUUGGUUUCUAGGAUCGACGUAAUGAUUAAUAGGGAUAGUUGGGGGCAUUAGUAUUCAAUUGUCAGAGGUGAAAUUCUUGGAUUUAUUGAAGACUAACUACUGCGAAAGCAUUUGCCAAGGAUGUUUUCAUUAAUCAAGAACGAAAGUUAGGGGAUCGAAGACGAUCAGAUACCGUCGUAGUCUUAACCAUAAACUAUGCCGACUAGGGAUCGGAUGAUGUUAAUUUUUUAAUGACUCAUUCGGCGCCUUACGGGAAACCAAAGUGUUUGGGUUC
rnacentral:rRNA from 1 species